rnacentral:rRNA from 1 species
UACGGGAGGCAGCAGUGGGGAAUAUUGCACAAUGGGCGAAAGCCUGAUGCAGCUAUGCCGCGUGUAUGAAGAAGGCCUUAGGGUUGUAAAGUACUUUCAUCGGGGAGGAAAAACAAAACUAAUAAUUUUAUUUCUUGACGUUACCCGAAAAAGAAGCACCGGCUAACUCCGUGCCAGCAGCCGCGGUAAUACGGAGGGUGCUAGCGUUAAUCAGAAUUACUGGGCGUAAAGAGCACGUAGGUGGUUUUUUUAAGUCAGAUGUGAAAUCCCUGGGCUUAACCUAGGAACUGCAUUUUGAAACUAAAUAACUAGAGUAUCGUAGAGGGAGGUAGAAUUCUAGGUGUAGCGGUGAAAUGCGUAGAUAUCUGGAGGAAUACCUGUGGCGAAAGCGGCCUCCUAAACGAAUACUGACACUGAGGUGCGAAAGCGUGGGGAGCAAACAGGGAUUAGAUACC